AAGCAAGAAGCAAAACUUUGCAUUUAGUUUCGACCUAAAAUUUUGAUUUAUAUCCUUGCUUA
rnacentral:tRNA from 1 species